rnacentral:misc_RNA from 1 species
GAUGAAGAACGCAGUGAAAUGCGAUACGUAAUGUGAAUUGCAAAUUCAGUGAAUCAUCGAGUCUUUGAACGCACAUUGCGCCCCCUGGUAUUCCGGGGGGCAUGCCUGUCCGAGCGUCAUUGCUGCCCUCAAGCACGGCUUGUGUGUUGGGCCCCGUCCUCCGAUCCCGGGGGACGGGCCCGAAAGGCAGCGGCGGCACCGCGUCCGGUCCUCGAGCGUAUGGGGCUUUGUCACCCGCUCUGUAGGCCCGGCCGGCGCUUGCCGAUCAACCCAAAUUUUUAUCCAGGUUGACCUCGGAUCAGGUAGGGAUACCCGCUGAACUUAAGCAUAUCAUAAGCGGAGGA